AUGAAGAAACACGAACUAACGGGGCGAAGCCAGCACAUGGUGGUUAAAAAGGUUUUAAACCGCCCUCAUCUCACCCCCCAAACAGAGGUGGUGAGCGCUCUGCUUUCUGGAGUGAAAUGGUCGAAACGGGCUGCCUUUGUCAGGUGUGAAGCUACUGUGAGAUGGGAAUGCUCUUCUUUCCAGAGUGUCUCUGAGAGGACUUGUGGACACACUCUUAAAAAUGCAGUAAGAAGUAGCUGUGCUUAACGGGGAAGGAGCAGCACGCUGCAGUAUUUUCUGCUGCUGACACUGAACCACAACAACCUCAGCUCUGCAUCUAUCAGGGACCAUUACAGUGCUCUUUCCCUGGUGUACAUCCCUCUUUUGUCCACUUGCCAACCGGCUUAACCUUUCAUCAGCAAAUAAUUUUCACUUAAUGAGAAUUUACUCUGAAGUGCAUUUUCCCUCAGGAGCACAGGUUCCCCCUUUGUCCAGCAGGAGCCUCGCCAUGCAGAUUGCAGCAGUUAUCGGGGCACGAUGAGCCUCAGUGCAGGUAUUGAUUUGUCUCGGGCUGCUGUCUAGACCACCAUUUGCAUUGAGCCAUUACACACACACGCACACAAAGAUCUGCCUUCGUUUUUCAGCGGCUGCUUGCUUCAUAUAUAGUGGCAUGAACAGGCUCAUGGAGCCUGGUCUGCUGGGCUCAGCCUCUGAAGCUGUGGCACCGCUAACGUGUGGGGACGCAGCCAGUGGGGGCAAGGAGGGGGCUGCAAUGGGCUGUCACAUCCCACAGGCUGCGAGGGCUUAUUUUUAGAUCAGUGCAUCAGGCACACAUGUUUGAGUGGUGGGAACUUGCUCACAGCUGCUCCUUUUUGAAGAGACUUUUGGCAGCUCCGUGUGGCCCAGCCCCAGUGCCUGCUCUGGGGACAUGGUGCCCGGGAGGCAGGAAGGGGAAGGAUGGAAGGAGGGAAAGGAGGGAAGUACAAAGGGGGUCCUGAAGACACCAGGGGUAGAAAUGAUAUAUGUUUAUGACCAGGCACCUGGUCAUAAACAUGGGCAGGGCUGAAAAGCCCAAGUAGCUCUAAUAGGAAAAAGUCACUUAAAUCUACACUGACUGAGAAAAGGAGGAUGGUCAAGAAAGGGAAGGUUAUUUACUGAAUGAGACCUUAAAGGAUCAAAGCUCUCCUCUGCCCUGCUCCUUCGCUCUCCCUACAACCAUUCAGUCCCGUGGUAUUUCUUCCUCUUUCUCAUGGCAGCAGAAGAGAGCUGGCACAAACUCCCAUACAAAGGAUGUGCUCCUCUGCCACCCUCCCAUAAGCACUCAGACAUGGUGGCAUUAUUUUCCUUAUUAGAUUUUUUCUUUCUAUUUACAAAAUGUAACAAACAAAAAAACAAACAACCUUAGUUGUGAAUCCAAAACAUCUUUUGCUACCUGAAAUCAAGGUGUUUUUUUUUUGUUGUUGUUGUCUUUUUUGACAUGACCAUUUUCUAUUCUGCAUAGGUCAAUUUUCAAUUACCCUUCUUAAUUAAUUCUGAAAGAGGUGAAUAAUUCUGUAGCUCUGGAAAGACUUUUUUUUUUUUUCCCCCAGAUCACGUAACUUUACAGAAGUGCUUGAUGGGCUUAAUUUUGAAGCUCCCAAUACCUUCUUAGUUUGGCUUUAAUUUUCAGAGAUUUGCCUUUUAUGAAGUUAUUCAUCCAUGUUGUUAACAUGCAAGCUUUUCAUGGGGAAUUUCUAAGGAAUUAAUUCAUUUAAAUAAUUCAGAUGCUCUCUAUGUGGUUGAAGUUAGCCAUCUGCACUGAAGGACAACACCACCAUGCAAUUCUACUUCACCUCACUCCUGAUAUUUGGCAGGCAUUUUCUCGCAUAACCAGAAAUAAGCAUUAGUGCCAAUCCUCCUAAGAUUGCUCAAGGGAUGACACUUGGAAUGAUAGAGGAGGCAUGAGCUGUUCUGGUUUGUGUUUUAAUGGGCAAGAUCUUCAGGCUGCUGACUUUUUUACAGUCACGUUGGAAUUAAUGCUUCCCUCUUAAGGGAAACGUUCCUGGGAAAUCAGCUGCAUGUCCCCUGUCAUGCUGAGCACUCCUAGAGAUGAAAGUUCCUUGCAGUAGAGCACUGCUUGUUCUUCAAUUCACGUUGGUUAUUCUUAAGAAAAUCUCACAGUCAUCUGAAGAUUUUGAAUGCUGGAAAGUCAUUAAAAAAAAUGUCAUAUAAUAUAUUUUUUUUCUACAUGGACCUAGUUCUUGUUGCACUCCUUGCACUUGCAAGCUUUUGGCAAAUGAAAAGUCCCACCAGAGUCUUUGAGCUGAAAUUUUGGUCUAUAAUGACACACAAAAAGAGUUGAAGGAAGUUUCAUGAGCAACGUCCUGUUAUUGUCUUGCAUCUCUGCAUUGUUACCUGCUGUGUUGCUGAUUUAAUGUGUAAACCUUUGCACUAGAACCAUAUUUCAUCUCUGAGGAGAAGGCUGCCUUGAUACCCUGAGCACUACUACUGCAUGCAGGCCUAGCCAGAAGUUCUGAAGUAUCAGCUUGCAAACAGAAAAGGGAUUAAUUUUCUUUAAAAAACUUCUCAGGAAAAAAAAAAAAAAGGUAGUCUCACUUCUUAACUGUCUCUAUUAUUAUGCUAGAAAUGGGUUUCAUGUGCUUAAGAGUGCUGUUCUAUUGAUUCAAUAUUUAUGUCUUCAGUUUUUUAAGGGCAUUAGUUUUAUUUGCACCGUCUGCAUUUGGCUUCCUCUUUUAAAGAACACAAAUAAAAAUGAACAGCAAAAUCA
ensembl:lncRNA